AUUGACAGGCGCAGAGAUGUGCUCUCCUUCGGGCAAUGGAUACAGGUGGUGCAUGGUUGUCGUCAGCUCGUGCCGUGAGGUGUUGGGUUAAGUCCCGCAACGAGCGCAACCCUCAUUGUUAGUUACUACCAUUCAGUUGAGGACUCUAAUGAGACUGCCAACGAUAAGUUGGAGGAAGGUGGGGAUGACGUCAAAUCAUCAUGCCCUUUAUGACCUGGGCUACAAACGUACUACAAUGGCCAAUACAAAGAGAUGCGAAGCGGUGACGUGGAGCGAACCUCAGAAAGUUGGUCUCAGUUCAGAUUGAAGUCUGCAACUCGACUUCAUGAAGGCGGAAUCGCUAGUAAUCGCGGGUCAGCAGACCGCGGUGAAUACGUUCCCGGGUUUU
rnacentral:rRNA from 1 species